GAUGAGUUCUCCCUGAGACUAUAAGUCUCCUGAAGGAACGUUGAAGACGACGACGUUGAUAGGUCGGGUGUGUAAGCGUAGCGAUACGUUGAGCUAACCGAUACUAAUGAACCGUGAGGCUUAACCUUACAACGCCGAAG
rnacentral:rRNA from 1 species